rnacentral:rRNA from 1 species
GAACUUAAGCAUAUCAAUAAGCGGAGGAAAAGAAACCAACAGGGAUUGCCUCAGUAACGGCGAGUGAAGCGGCAACAGCUCAAAUUUGAAAUCUGGCCUCACGGUCCGAGUUGUAAUUUGUAGAGGAUGUUUCGAGUGUGGUCCGGUCUAAGUUCCUUGGAACAGGACGUCAUAGAGGGUGAGAAUCCCGUAUGCGACUGGGUGCCUAAUCUCAUGUGAAACUCCUUCGACGAGUCGAGUUGUUUGGGAAUGCAGCUCAAAAUGGGUGGUAAAUUUCAUCUAAAGCUAAAUACUGGCCAGAGACCGAUAGCGCACAAGUAGAGUGAUCGAAAGAUGAAAAGCACUUUGGAAAGAGAGUUAAACAGUACGUGAAAUUGUUGAAAGGGAAGCGCUUGCAACCAGACUUGCACGCAGUCGAUCAUCCGAUGUUUUCACCGGUGCACUCGAUUGUGUUCAGGCCAGCAUCGGUUUUGGUGGUGGGAUAAAGGCCUUGGGAAUGUAGCUUCUUUCGGGGAGUGUUAUAGCCCUCGGUGCAAUGCCGCCUACUGGGACCGAGGACCGCGCUUCGGCUAGGAUGCUGGCGUAAUGGUUGUAAGCGACCCGUCUUGAAACACGGACCAAGGAGUCUAACAUCUAUGCGAGUGUUUGGGUGUCAAACCCAUACGCGUAAUGAAAGUGAACGGAGGUGAGAACCCUUAAGGGUGCAUCAUCGACCGAUCCUGAUGUCUUCGGAUGGAUUUGAGUAAGAGCAUAGCUGUUGGGACCCGAAA